rnacentral:rRNA from 1 species
GGGUUGUGAGGUUAAGCGACUAAGCGUACACGGUGGAUGCCCUGGCAGUCAGAGGCGAUGAAGGACGUGCUAAUCUGCGAAAAGCGCCGGCGAGGUGAUAUGAACCUUUGACCCGGCGAUGUCCGAAUGGGGAAACCCAGUGCAAUCCGUUGCACUAUCGUUAACUGAAUACAUAGGUUAACGAGGCGAACCGGGGGAACUGAAACAUCUAAGUACCCCGAGGAAAAGAAAUCAACCGAGAUUCCCCCAGUAGCGGCGAGCGAACGGGGAGCAGCCCGGAGUCUGAAUCAGCUUGUGUGUUAGUGGAACGGUCUGGAAAGUCCGACGGUACAGGGUGAUAGUCCCGUACACGAAAGCACACUUGCUGUGAACUCGAAGAGUAGGGCGGGACACGUGGUAUCCUGUCUGAAUAUGGGGGGACCAUCCUCCAAGGCUAAAUACUCCUGACUGACCGAUAGUGAACCAGUACCGUGAGGGAAAGGCGAAAAGAACCCCGGCGAGGGGAGUGAAAAAGAACCUGAAACCGUGUACGUACAAGCAGUGGGAGCCUCUUUAUGGGGUGACUGCGUACCUUUUGUAUAAUGGGUCAGCGACUUAUAUUCUGUAGCAAGGUUAACCGUAUAGGGGAGCCGAAGGGAAACCGAGUCUUAACUGGGCGUUAAGUUGCAGGGUAUAGACCCGAAACCCGGUGAUCUAGCCAUGGGCAGGUUGAAGGUUGGGUAACACUAACUGGAGGACCGAACCGACUAAUGUUGAAAAAUUAGCGGAUGACCUGUGGCUGGGGGUGAAAGGCCAAUCAAACCGGGAGAUAGCUGGUUCUCCCCGAAAGCUAUUUAGGUAGCGCCUCGUGAACUCAUCUUCGGGGGUAGAGCACUGUUUCGGCUAGGGGGCCAUCCCGGCUUACCAACCCGAUGCAAACUACGAAUACCGAAGAAUGUUAUCACGGGAGACACACGGCGGGUGCUAACGUCCGUCGUGAAGAGGGAAACAACCCAGACCGCCAGCUAAGGUCCCAAAGUCAUGGUUAAGUGGGAAACGAUGUGGGAAGGCACAGACAGCCAGGAUGUUGGCUUAGAAGCAGCCAUCAUUUAAAGAAAGCGUAAUAGCUCACUGGUCGAGUCGGCCUGCGCGGAAGAUGUAACGGGGCUAAACCAUGCACCGAAGCUGCGGCAGCGACACUAUGUGUUGUUGGGUAGGGGAGCGUUCUGUAAGCCGUUGAAGGUGUGCUGUGAGGCAUGCUGGAGGUAUCAGAAGUGCGAAUGCUGACAUAAGUAACGAUAAAGCGGGUGAAAAGCCCGCUCGCCGGAAGACCAAGGGUUCCUGUCCAACGUUAAUCGGGGCAGGGUGAGUCGACCCCUAAGGCGAGGCCGAAAGGCGUAGUCGAUGGGAAACAGGUUAAUAUUCCUGUACUUGGUGUUACUGCGAAGGGGGGACGGAGAAGGCUAUGUCAGCCGGGCGACGGUUGUCCCGGUUUAAGCAUGUAGGCGGAGGUUCCAGGUAAAUCCGGUACCUUUUAACGCUGAGGUGUGAUGACGAGGCACUACGGUGCUGAAGUGAUAAAUGCCCUGCUUCCAGGAAAAGCCUCUAAGCAUCAGGUAACACGAAAUCGUACCCCAAACCGACACAGGUGGUCAGGUAGAGAAUACCAAGGCGCUUGAGAGAACUCGGGUGAAGGAACUAGGCAAAAUGGUGCCGUAACUUCGGGAGAAGGCACGCUGAUGUGUAGGUGAAGCCCCUGCGGGUGGAGCUGAAAUCAGUCGAAGAUACCAGCUGGCUGCAACUGUUUAUUAAAAACACAGCACUGUGCAAACACGAAAGUGGACGUAUACGGUGUGACGCCUGCCCGGUGCCGGAAGGUUAAUUGAUGGGGUUAGCGGCAACGCGAAGCUCUUGAUCGAAGCCCCGGUAAACGGCGGCCGUAACUAUAACGGUCCUAAGGUAGCGAAAUUCCUUGUCGGGUAAGUUCCGACCUGCACGAAUGGCGUAAUGAUGGCCAGGCUGUCUCCACCCGAGACUCAGUGAAAUUGAACUCGCUGUGAAGAUGCAGUGUACCCGCGGCAAGACGGAAAGACCCCGUGAACCUUUACUAUAGCUUGACACUGAACACUGGUCCUUGAUGUGUAGGAUAGGUGGGAGGCUUUGAAGCGUGGACGCCAGUCUGNNNNNNNNNCCGGGUUGCGGACAGUGUCUGGUGGGUAGUUUGACUGGGGCGGUCUCCUCCCAAAGAGUAACGGAGGAGCACGAAGGUUGGCUAAUCCUGGUCGGACAUCAGGAGGUUAGUGCAAUGGCAUAAGCCAGCUUGACUGCGAGCGUGACGGCGCGAGCAGGUGCGAAAGCAGGUCAUAGUGAUCCGGUGGUUCUGAAUGGAAGGGCCAUCGCUCAACGGAUAAAAGGUACUCCGGGGAUAACAGGCUGAUACCGCCCAAGAGUUCAUAUCGACGGCGGUGUUUGGCACCUCGAUGUCGGCUCAUCACAUCCUGGGGCUGAAGUAGGUCCCAAGGGUAUGGCUGUUCGCCAUUUAAAGUGGUACGCGAGCUGGGUUUAGAACGUCGUGAGACAGUUCGGUCCCUAUCUGCCGUGGGCGCUGGAGAAUUGAGGGGGGCUGCUCCUAGUACGAGAGGACCGGAGUGGACGCAUCACUGGUGUUCGGGUUGUCAUGCCAAUGGCACUGCCCGGUAGCUAAAUGCGGAAGAGAUAAGUGCUGAAAGCAUCUAAGCACGAAACUUGCCCCGAGAUGAGUUCUCCCUGAGACCUUGAGUCUCCUGAAGGAACGUUAAAGACGAUGACGUUGAUAGGUCGGGUGUGUAAGCGCAGCGAUGCGUUGAGCUAACCGAUACUAAUGAACCGUGAGGCUUAACCUUACAACGCCGAAG